rnacentral:rRNA from 1 species
UUGAGAGUUUGAUUCCUGGCUCAGGAUUAACGCUGGCGGCAUGCCUAAUACAUGCAAGUCGAACGAAAGUAGCAAUACUUUAGUGGCGAACGGGUGAGUAACACGUAUCUAACCUACCAUUUAGUGGGGAAUAACUGUUGGAAACGACAGCUAAUACCGCAUAUGUUAUUUAUUUGCAAUGAUAAAUAAUGAAAGGAGCAUUUGCUUCGCUAAUUGAUGGGGAUGCGGCGCAUUAACUAGUUGGUAAGGUAAUGGCUUACCAANGUAACGAUGCGUAGCCGAUCUGAGAGGAUGAACGGCCACAUUGGGACUGAGACACGGCCCAAACUUCUACGGAAGGCAGCAGUAGGGAAUUUUUCACAAUGGGCGAAAGCCUGAUGGAGCAAUGCCGCGUGACUGAUGAANGUCUUCGGAUUGUAAAAGUCUGUUGUAAGGGAAGAAGUGCUAUAAUAGGAAAUAAUUUUAGUAUCGACCAUACCUUACCAGAAAAGCCACGGCUAA